rnacentral:rRNA from 1 species
UACGAAGGGGGCUAGCGUUGCUCGGAAUCACUGGGCGUAAAGGGUGCGUAGGCGGGCCUUUAAGUCAGGGGUGAAAUCCUGGAGCUCAACUCCAGAACUGCCUUUGAUACUGAAGAUCUUGAGUUCGGGAGAGGUGAGUGGAACUGCGAGUGUAGAGGUGAAAUUCGUAGAUAUUCGCAAGAACACUAGUGGCGAAGGCGGCUCACUGGCCCGAUACUGACGCUGAGGCGCGAAAGCGUGGGGAGCAAACAGG